GCUGGCGGCACGCCUAAUACAUGCAAGUCGAACGGAGUAGCAAUACUUAGUGGCAGACGGGUGAGUAACAUGUGGGUAUCUUCCCUUUGGUGAGGAAUAACACGAGGAAACUUGUGCUAAUACCUCAUAAGUCUUUACGGAGAAAGCUUUAUGCGCCAAUGGAUGAGCCCGCACUUGAUUAGUUUGUUGGUGGGGUAAUGGCCUACCAAGACUGUGAUCAAUAGCUGAUUUGAGAGGAUGAUCAGCCACAUUGGGACUGAGACACGGCCCAAACUCCUACGGGAGGCAGCAGUAGGGAAUCUUGCACAAUGGAGGAAACUCUGAUGCAGCGAUGCCGCGUGAGUGAAGAAGGCCCUUGGGUUGUAAAGCUCUUUCGUCGGGGAAGAAAAUGACUGUACCCGAAUAAGAAGGUCCGGCUAACUUCGUGCCAGCAGCCGCGGUAAUACGAAGGGACCUAGCGUAGUUCGGAAUUACUGGGCUUAAAGAGUUCGUAGGUGGUUAAAAAAGUUGGUGGUGAAAGCCCAGAGCUUAACUCUGGAACUGCCAUCAAAACUUUUUAGCUAGAGUUUGAUAGAGGAAAGCAGAAUUUCUAGUGUAGAGGUGAAAUUCGUAGAUAUUAGAAAGAAUACCAAUUGCGAAGGCAGCUUUCUGGAUCAUUACUGACACUGAGGAACGAAAGCAUGGGUAGCGAAGAGGAUUAGAUACCCUCGUAGUCCAUGCCGUAAACGAUGUGUGUUAGAUGUUGGAAAUUUAUUUUCAGUAUCACAGCGAAAGCAAUAAACACACCGCCUGGGGAGUACGAC
rnacentral:rRNA from 1 species